UACAGAGGUCUCAAGCGUUGUUCGGAUUCAUUGGGCGUAAAGGGUGCGUAGGCGGCUCGGAAAGUCGGGCGUGAAAUGCCGGAGCUCAACCCCGGGACUGCGUCCGAUACUUCCGAGCUGGAGGUAGGUAGGGGAGAUCGGAAUUCCUGGUGUAGCGGUGAAAUGACGCAGAUAUCAGGAGGAACACCGGUGGCGAAGGCGGAUCUCUGGGCCUUACCUGACGCUGAGGCGCGAAAGCUAGGGGAGCGAACAGG
rnacentral:rRNA from 1 species